ACCGAGGCGGUGGUGUCACCGUGUGAGACCCGCGCCGGGCGAAGGCACGCCGGAGCCUCCGCCGGGAGAGGGCGGGACGCAGCUCCUGCACACCCGGCACCCCGGCGAUACCCUUCGCUGUGGUCCUUAGUACGCCGCCGCUGCAGGAUGGAGGAUGGAGGCGGGGAGGACUCGGGUCGCCGCGUUUAGGUUCUCGCUGGCGCCCAGCGGGGCUCCCUACCUCAACAGCCUCAGCGAAAAGCAACACGGGAGUUUUGUAGUUUUCUAGAUGCUUCUAGAGAUUGAGUGAUGGCGACGGAUUUCUGAGCCUAGGGUUCGCAGCUGUCAGCUCACUCUCGCCAGGUCGCAUACCUGUGACAAUUUACAUGUCUUUCCAGGAGAACCAAUUCCGAUUAGCCUCACCUGCCUGCAGAUAGCCAGCUCAACUGUUUCUUUGUGAUGCCUUCCGGGAAUUUUCCCAGGCUCUUUGGAGUCCUGUGUCUUGAUACCCUCUAUAUGGGACUGGGCCAUCUGUACUCUUGGAAAGUCUUGAAAGCAAAUGUUCAGACAUCUGGACUGGACAAUUUCAUAAUUACCAGUGUUUUCUAAGGGCUACUUUCAUAAUUAGGUGUUCAGUUAGUGUGUAUGGGGGGGGGGCAUCUUUCUGGACCAUUCCAAGGCUCAUUUUAUUAAUUCCAAGUACCUGGCCGAUGUGGGUCAUGAUGGAGAAAACAACAACAACAACAACAACAACAAAAAACGAUUAGCUGACCUGUGAUUAUCUAAGGGCAGUGUUAGCGUUUAGAGAAACUGGUUGAAUUCUGGGGCUACGUGUCGGCCCUGCAGAGCAGGGAUAAGUGAUAAUACUGUCCAGUUCUUCAAUUGCCCAAUAUUUUCAUACCUAUGAGUAGAAAUUAAUGAAAUGAAAGAGCACAUUGAAAGCAAAGACUAAAGGUGACUGUGUCAGGCGAAUGGGUGGCAUGAGAGAAUGCAUCUGGAAUUGGUUUUUAGCAUAAAAAGCAUACAGAGGGUGAAUGUAGGAUCCACAAAGUCACAUCAGGGAUCCAGUAUCCUCUUUGGUCUGCUCAGCAACUCAGGGAAGUCUUGUUACUUCCCUGCCUUAAUGAUUGUAGGAUACAGUGGUAGCAAAGGAGGUGGGGGCACACCGUGCUGUGGUGUGUGUAUCACAUAACUAUAUGAACACAACAUGUUCAGUUCUGUUAGUGUUCCUAUCACGUGACCUCAGAGCUGACAUUUUGGUAUUGAAUAACCUGUUAGGGGUUCAUCUCUGGGAAGGACUUCCUCUUCCUCUCAGCAUUCCUGUAGUUCAUUGUCUAGGGGUGGGGAUAUUUGAUAUCUUGAACAAUGGAUGAUUUAUUUAGAUGCUUAUUAUCUGUGAAAUUAAUGGAUGAUGAUCUCGUUAUCCCCCUUUGGUUCUUCCUCUAGAUCUUAAGGUUUCAAAAAUGUAUAAAGAGGACUGUCAAGAUGGCUUAACUGGUAAAGGUGACUGCUUCAUAGCUUGACGACCUGAGUUCGAGCCUCAGGAUCCACCGAUAUGGAAGGAGAGAACCAACCCCUACAAGUUAUCCUCUGACUUCCACAUGCUCCAUGUGAUCCUCAUGUACACAUGUAGACAGAGAAAUACAUCACUUGUACUUCAAAGACUGUCAUGUCAGAACAGCACAAGUUGGAUACUUUACCAAGAAGGAAUAUUUUUUUCUGAAAUAAUUGAGUUUAAAAUAGCUAUUAUGCUUUGAACUAUUGCUUGAUCCUUGUCAGUUAUGGUUUUCCUCACAAAUUCUUUACUUCUAGAGACUGUUUUCAGUAAGUAGAAUUGUACAUUUGAGUAGUGCCUUGCUGGAUAUUUCAGUGUGCAUAUUAGUUCAAGCAGCUGUGAGGCAGAGAAGUGUAGCUCGAAUUCUAGUUGGUCUUAAUAAUAAAAGCCCAGAGUCAGAUAUAGGGGUUAGUGCUGAAGUUCAGAGAAGCAGAGAGGCCAGACACUGAAGAGUUCUUUUACCUGUACCAAUGCUUAGACAGAAGGGCGAUCCUGUCCUCAGACUGCGUCUGUCUCCACCAAACCUCAGACUGCCCUGAGCUCCCUCCCCUGUCUCCUCCCACCUUAUAUUCCCCUCACCACCCAGCCAUGUCACUCCAUCACUCCCUCUCCACCUCCCUAGUGCUGGGAUUAAAGGUGUGUAAUCUCAAAUGCUGGGGGUCACCUUUAAACUCUUUCUCUUUUAGAUAGAUUAAAUCUUGUUUAGCCCAGGGUGGCCUUGAACUAACAGAGCCCUGACUGCCUCUCUCUCCCCGGAUUCCUGGAAUUAAAGAUGUGUGCCUCCACUCCCUGGUCUCUAGUGGCUUAUUAGCUCUUCAGCUUUAUUUGUUAAAACAUAGACAAAAUAUCACUACAGGGAAGCCAUACUUAGAAGCAAGCAUGGUCUUCUCUUUGUCUUCAGGUGUGAAUUUGAGUCCUAAGAGACAGAGAGCAAACCCUCCUCUCAUCUGGUCAAUUACUGGAAGAGCUGGGGAUCAGAUCCUCCAACUGUUAGUAACUGGAAUUACUCUUUAUAUUUGUAUUUUGUUAUGAACUCGUGCAUUUGGAAUAUUUUCAGAAGAUGGAGGAAUGUUCAUUUCUAUCCCUCUGUCAGAGAGGACAGUAUUAUUUAGUACAGUGGCUGCGAGGCUUGCAAAUGAUCCGCUGACUGCAGUGCCCAGAAUCCUGCAAGAACUUUGCAAAUAAUGCUGUCUACUAUUAUACUUUUUCCAGAAUUAUAGGGUUUUGUAAUUAUGGUUAUGAGAUUUGUUUGUAUGUGUAGGCUCUCACUGCGUAGUUCAGGCUGGGCCUGGAACUAAAAGCUCUUCCUGCCUCUGUCUUUCAAGUGCUGGGAUUAGAGGUGUGUGCUGUUGGCACCCAGAAGUGCUGGUUAAACCCACCACCUACUGUGACUGCAAUUUCCUUUCUUCCUCAAGUGAGCCGGCUUUGUUUGCCUCAGCCAUGCACAGACAGCUUUGAAAUAAGGGCGCUCAAAUACAAGGCCGCCUUAGAGUUCAUGUUUCAAUUUUUUUUUAUUAUAGCGGUAUCAUUUACUUUGGUAAAUUCAUAUUCCGAUUUUAAAAUGCUUUGAAGCAAACAAAACUCAUUUACAAAUUCAAGUACUGCAUGUUAUACACACAAUAGCUGCAUAGUGGAAUUUCUCUAGCAAGCUGUUAAUUCACAAUGCCCAGUACUAACAGUACGGCAGUAGAUUACACUAAAUGUAUCGCUUUGCCACAAUCGUUGUAUAGCACGGUAACCAGUACAACAGCUUAUAUGAUUGCACGUCAAAGCUUUAAUAAAGUUGUAGCAUUUGA